GAUGAACGCUGGCGGCGUGCCUAAUACAUGCAAGUCGAACGCUUCACUUCGGUGAAGAGUGGCGAACGGGUGAGUAAUACAUAAGUAACCUGGCAUCUACAGGGGGAUAACUGAUGGAAACGUCAGCUAAGACCGCAUAGGUGUAGAGAUCGCAUGAACUCUAUAUGAAAAGUGCUACGGGACUGGUAGAUGAUGGACUUAUGGCGCAUUAGCUUGUUGGUAGGGUAACGGCCUACCAAGGCGACGAUGCGUAGCCGACCUGAGAGGGUGACCGGCCACACUGGGACUGAGACACGGCCCAGACUCCUACGGGAGGCAGCAGUAGGGAAUUUUCGGCAAUGGGGGAAACCCUGACCGAGCAACGCCGCGUGAAGGAAGAAGUAAUUCGUUAUGUAAACUUCUGUCAUAGAGGAAGAACGGGGGAUAUAGGGAAUGAUAUCCAAGUGACGGUACUCUAUAAGAAAGCCACGGCUAACUACGUG
rnacentral:rRNA from 1 species